UAAGACACUAUGAUGCCAUGGGUUCUCAUUUUUUUAGGUUCUGAUUUCCGAACAAGAUCAUUGCCUAAAUGGUUUGCAUAUAUAUGGAUGUUUUUCCAUGUUGUAGAGGCUAUCAAAAUGGUUAGUGAGCAAGGCCAGUUUAUGUUAAAGUUCAUAGAAUCCUUGCGGCCAUACAUUGAACCAUGCUUAAUUUUACUGUCCUGUUGUAC
rnacentral:lncRNA from 1 species